rnacentral:rRNA from 1 species
GAUGAACGCUGGCGGCGUGCCUAACACAUGCAAGUCGAGCGGACGGACCCGGCGCUUGCGGUGCGCUCGAGAGGCGCACGGGGGAGUAAAACGUGAGUAUCACGCACUUGUCUUUGGGAUAACUUCAGGAGACUGCGGCUAUUACAGCAUAGGAUCUCUUGCUCCGCGGUGGGGGAUGGUAAGAUUCGGCGGUUGGGGCUGGACUCGAGGCUUACCCGCUUGAUGGUGUGGUAGUGGCUUACCAAGGCUUUGAAGGGUAGCCGGCCUGGGAGGGGGACCGGCCACAUUGGGACUGCGAUACGGACCAGACUGCAACGGGAGGCAGCAGUGGGGAAUCUUGCGCAAUGGGCGGAAGCCUGAUGCAGCAACGCCGCGUGCGGGAUGACGGCCUUCGGGUUGUAAACCGCUUUCGCCUGUGACGAAGCGUGAGUGACGGUAAUGGGUAAAGAAGCACCGGCUAACUACGUG